rnacentral:misc_RNA from 1 species
AUAAUAAUAAUAAUAAUAAUAGUUACAUAAAAUAAGAAUGUAUAUGCAUCUUUUUCUUUCAUUUGUUAGCUGUCCAUAUUGUCUUAGUCAAAAACAAGUUUUUCCCCCCAUUCAUUGAGAAGGAUUUUAGAAUCUAUCAUAAAGAAAGAGCUUUAAAGUUUGUCCCUUAAAUGGGUUGACUGGAAGUGAAGGAUUCAUGUAUUCAUUGCCAGUUAGUUUGGCAUUGAGACUUAAUUGAGUCCAAUUUAGCACCAUAAAAAGAUAACAUCAUUGAGGACAAGAAUAUCCUUUUCCUGGUUUUUGGAUACACAAGUUGUUAAAUGCGGCAAAGUUGGCUUGGAUUUGGGAUUUAUUAGGCACUUGGUGAUUGUUGUAUGGUCACUUACAAAUAGACCUGGCCAUGGGCUGUGUCAGAAUCGGAACCGGUCAAACCCGUGGUUGACUCUAACUUGAUUGAACCAUGCUGGAAUCGGCUGGUUUGGUUUUUGGCCAAAAUUGGAUUUUUUCACUUAAAUUUUUUUUUUGGGCAAAAAACCGGGCUAUUGGAUUUGAUCAAAACUGGAUUGAAUGGGAACGGGAAUGGGAACUUUUGGGGGUUUUUACUGGCCGAUUCUGGUUCAUAAACCUAGUGACCUGGAACUAGCUGUUCGGAAACAGCCCGGUGGCCAGGUCUACUUACAUACAUGCCUGCGACCCUAGCUGAGGUGUAGGAUGGUGCAAAAGGCAGAUAUGGCCUAUGCAUUGUGUCCUUUUCCUAAUAGAAAUGCAGUAUCUUACAGUUCUUUUCGGAAGAAUCAAUCUAUUUCAUUUUUUCUUUGCCCAUCUUGGGACUUAUUGCAGUUUUAUUAGUGCUUAUAGCCAUGAACUCAGUGCAAAUUCUGCAUGUGCUUUUACACUUGAGUCACAUGUUGACAUGAACAAUUUUCCUUAAAGAUACUACAUUGGAGAAGGUGUCAUUCAUAAAAUGUUACAAUGCUUGCUCUGUGAAGUGGCAUGCCUAAUGUUCCACAUAAUGGUAACCUGCCGAAAUCUCUUAUUUAGUUUUCUUUGAAAUUUUAUUAUUUCAUGGUUGGUGUUCUUUAUACUUAAAGCAUCUUUCUGCAAUUAUUGAACAAGAGUUUUUUUUUUUUUUCCCUCCCAAUAUAUUUGGGACAAAGAUAACUUCAUAUUUUUCUUAUACUUUAUACAGAACUAGCAUCCUGAUUGGAUUAUGUAUUAAUUAUGAGUCGAUUUUAAUUCAAAUUAGUUGAAUACAGAUGGUGAUGCCUCUUAUUUAGAUUCUUUUGUUGGAGACAGUUUGGAAAUAUUAUCAUGUACGUCAUACUCCUUUCUAAGGUCUAUCUUGACGCAUACAUGUACAGGUGUUAUUCUGCACUUAUUUCUCAAAUAUUUGGGUUUUUAAACUAUGUUGCUUUUUGUUGAUGCUUGGUAUGGCCUAUAUUGGUGUAUAAUGCAAUUGUUUGUUUUAUAUUUUAUUAAAAUGUGUGAUCAUAUAUGGUUGAACCUUGUUUCAGGUAUUUUCUGCUUUUGGCUUUGUGCACAAAAUUGCUACUUUUGAAAAGGCUGCUGGUUUCCAGGCACUUAUUCAAUUCACUGAUGCGGAGACUGCAUCUACUGCAAGGGUUGCCUUGGAUGGAAGAAGUAUACCGAGGUACUUGCUUCCGGAGCAUGUUGGUUCAUGUCACCUGCGCAUAUCCUAUUCUGCACAUACUGAUCUUAAUAUCAAGUUUCAAUCUCACAGGAGCAGGGACUAUACAAAUCCAUAUCUUCCUGUGAAUCCUACUGCAAUUGAGGGACCUGUACAGCCUGCUGUAGGUCCUGAUGGAAAGAAGAAAGAACCAGAGAGUAAUGUACUUCUUGCAUCAGUAGAGAAUAUGCAGUAUGCUGUAACAGUUGAUGUUCUUCAUACGGUAUUUUCUGCAUUUGGUAAUGUCCAAAAGAUUGCUAUAUUUGAGAAAAAUGGUGGAACACAAGCUCUAAUUCAGUACCCUGAUGUUGCAACUGCAGCAGUAGCCAAAGAAACUUUGGAAGGACAUUGCAUUUAUGAUGGUGGCUAUUGUAAGCUUCAUCUAUCAUACUCUCGUCAUACUGAUCUCAAUGUAAAGGUAUAAAAAUGUGCUUUUGAGUUAAUCUUCAUGAGAAUAAAAUGAGAAGAAAAAUAAAAGAUGCUGUGUAAGAGGAAAAAGUGCAUCCGUUCCUGGUCAAAAAAGAUUGGUCCUUUAAAACGUAUGCUUCUUGACACUUGAUUGCCCCCUUCUUGUUGGAUAUAAUUGUCAUCCCAUUUAUUAAAAAAUCUAUAGGAGAAUAUAAUUAAUUGCUCGCUGUCUCUUUUUUCCCCCUUUUUUCUUUUCUUUUACAGGCCUACAGUGAUAAGAGCAGAGAUUACACCAUCCCGGACGCAAGUUUGCUUGCAGCAGGACAGGUUUCUGGCAUCCCUACUACUCCAUCUGUGUGGCAGAAUCCUCAGGCUGCUCCUAUGUACCCCAUUAACAACUAUGCCGCUGCAGCUGCUGUCCCCACGCAAGUUCCUGCUGGGCAAGUGCCUGCUUGGGAUCCAGCUGUGCAGGCAGGAGCCCCAGCUUAUGCAUCAGUUCCUGGCACAUUUCCUGGUCAAACAUAUCAAGCAGCUCCAGUACCCUCAUAUGUCACUACAGCAAUGCCCGCUGGAUCCUCUCCUCUUUCGCAAGGCAGCCCAAUUGCUCCUGGUGUGGUUUCCAUGCAAUGACUCAACCAGGGUUUCAACCAAAUGUGCGACCUGGUGGGGCUCCACCUCCAAGCUACCAUCCUUAUUAUGGCUGAUGAUUUGUAUGUUCCUCUUUGAACAGUGUUUGCCUUUCAAGCAUUUGUGUCUGGUAAAGAUUAUAAAUCUUUUAUGGUAAUUGCAAAAAGAAAAAAAAAAUCAUAUUUGCUUUUAUUUUUGUUAUGUUUUUCUCGGCUGCAUGAGAUUGAUAUGGUAGAUGGAAUCUAAUUGUAAUCUUUUUCAUUCUGUUCAUAUCUUCUUCAAUGAUAUUAAACCUG